GGAAUUGACGGGGCCCGCACAAGCGGUGGAGCAUGUGGUUUAAUUCGAUGCAACGCGAAGAACCUUACCUGGUCUUGACAUCCCGGAGACCCUUAGGAAACUAGGGGGUGCUUCCAUCUGGAAGAAUCUGGAGACAGGUGCUGCAUGGCUGUCGUCAGCUCGUGUCGUGAGAUGUUGGGUUAAGUCCCGCAACGAGCGCAACCCUUGCCUUUAGUUGCCAGCAGUUCGGCUGGGCACUCUAAAGGGACUGCCGGUGUUAAACCGGAGGAAGGUGGGGAUGACGUCAAGUCCUCAUGGCCUUUAUGACCAGGGCUACACACGUACUACAAUGGCCGAUACAAAGGGCAGCGACACUGCGAGGUGAAGCCAAUCCCGUAAAAUCGGUCUCAGUCCGGAUUGGAGUCUGCAAUUCGACUCCAUGAAGUUGGAAUCACUAGUAAUCGUGGAUCAGCAUGCCACGGUGAAUACGUUCCCGGGCCUU
rnacentral:rRNA from 1 species